CAGUAGCCGCGGUAAUACGUAGGUGGCAAGCGUUGUCCGGAAUUAUUGGGCGUAAAGGGCUCGCAGGCGGUUUCUUAAGUCUGAUGUGAAAGCCCCCGGCUCAACCGGGGAGGGUCAUUGGAAACUGGAAACUUGAGUGCAGAAGAGGAGAGUGGAAUUCCACGUGUAGCGGUGAAAAGCGUAGAGAUGUGGAGGAACACCAGUGGCGAAGGCGACUCUCUGGUCUGUAACUGACGCUGAGGAGCGAAAGCGUGGGGAGCGAACAGGAUUAGAUACCCCGGUAGUCCCUGUCUCUUAUACA
rnacentral:rRNA from 1 species